AGAAUCAACGCUGGCGGCGUGCCUAACACAUGCAAGUCGAACGAGAAAGUGGAGCAAUCCAUGAGUAAAGUGGCGCACGGGUGAGUAACACGUGACUAACCUACCCUUGAGUGGGGGAUAACCUAGAGAAAUCUGGGCUAAUACCGCAUAAUACCUUCGGGUCAAAGGAGCAAUUCGCUUAAGGAGGGGGUCGCGGCCGAUUAGUUAGUUGGCGGGUAAUGGCCCACCAAGACUGUGAUCGGUAUCCGGCCUGAGAGGGCGCACGGACACACUGGAACUGAAACACGGUCCAGACUCCUACGGGAGGCAGCAGUGGGAAUUUGCGCAAUGGGGGAAACCCUGACGCAGCAACGCCGCGUGGAGGAUGAAGCCCCUUGGGGCGUAAACUCCUUUCGAUCGGGAAGAUAAUGACGGUACCGAGAGAAGAAGCCCCGGCUAACUUCGCGCAGCAGCCGAC
rnacentral:rRNA from 1 species